rnacentral:rRNA from 1 species
GGGGGGUGCAAGCGUUAUUCGGAAUCACUGGGCGUAAAGAGCGCGUAGGCGGGUCUCUUAAGUCAGAUGUGAAAGCCCGGGGGCUCAACCCCGGAAGUGCAUUUGAAACGAAGGGACUUGGGUAUGGGAGAGGGAAGUGGAAUUCCUGGUGUAGCGGUGAAAUGCGUAGAUAUCAGGAGGAACACCGGUGGCGAUGGCGACUUCCUGGACCAAUACUGACGCUGAGGCGCGAAGGCGUGGGGAGCAAACAGGAUUAGAUACCCUGGUAGUCCACGCAGUAAACGUUGAACACUAGGUGUAGCGGGUAUUGACCCCUGCUGUGCCGCAGCUAACGCAUUAAGUGUUCCGCCUGGGGAGUACGGCCGCAAGGCUA